rnacentral:rRNA from 1 species
CGCUAGUAAUCGCGAAUCAGAAUGUCGCGGUGAAUACGUUCCCGGGUCUUGUACACACCGCCCGUCACACCAUGGGAGCUGGUAACACCCGAAGUCAGUAGUCUAACCGCAAGGAGGACGCUGCCGAAGGUGGGAUUAGCGACUGGGGUGAAGUCGUAACAAGGUACC